UACGUAGGGGGCAAGCGUUGUCCGGAAUCAUUGGGCGUAAAGCGUGCGCAGGCGGCUUUGCAAGACAGAUGUGAAAUCCCCGGGCUCAACCUGGGAACUGCAUUUGUGACUGCAUGGCUAGAGUACGGUAGAGGGGGAUGGAAUUCCGCGUGUAGCAGUGAAAUGCGUAGAUAUGCGGAGGAACACCGAUGGCGAAGGCAAUCCCCUGGACCUGUACUGACGCUCAUGCACGAAAGCGUGGGGAGCAAACAGG
rnacentral:rRNA from 1 species